rfam:Dipodomys ordii contig_42056, whole genome shotgun sequence.
GGUGGCUCAGUGGUAGAGCGCUUGCCUUGUAUGCAUGAGGGUCUGUAUUCAAUUUCUCAGCACCA